rnacentral:misc_RNA from 1 species
GCAAAGGUAGAAUCAUCAAAGACCCUACCGCCCACAUCAUCAGGUUCCAUAUCCAAGAGACCAAGCGACGCCCCGAGGGCCAUGCCAUCCAUGCGUGAGCAAAGACAACAUGGGCCACAGAGACCGCUUCGAGGUUCGUUCMACGCCGCAAGCAGCGCAUUACGAAUAUGUACUUCGAUCGAGCCAWACGAUGCCCKUGAUWAGGUAUGCAACACAGGAAACCCACCGUAAGCACAAGACAAACAAGGCCUUGUAGCACAACUGAAGAGGCUUGAACGCAUGAAAGUUCCUGCACAAGCAGCCAACAAACACCCGUAACAARCCAAACACAACUCAUACACCUUUACAACAAGCAUUCCAGAGGACGACCUAGCUUCCAGCCACUCCCUUGGCACUAACACCAAGCAAG